rnacentral:rRNA from 1 species
AACGUAGGUUCCGAGCGUUAUCCGGAUUUACUGGGCGUAAAGCGUGUUCAGGCGGCUCAGCAAGUCAGGCAUGAAAUCUCUCGGCUCAACCGGGAGAGGCUGUCCGAUACUGCUGGGCUUGAGGGCAGUAGAGGGUGGUGGAAUUCCGGGUGUAGUGGUGAAAUGCGUAGAUAUCCGGAGGAACACCAGUGGCGAAAGCGGCCACCUGGACUGCACCUGACGCUGACACGCGAAAGCUAGGGGAGCGAACGGG